GAUGAACGCUGGCGGCGUGCCUAAUACAUGCAAGUCGAGCGAACGGACGAGAAGCUUGCUUCUCUGAUGUUAGCGGCGGACGGGUGAGUAACACGUGGAUAACCUACCUAUAAGACUGGGAUAACUUCGGGAAACCGGAGCUAAUACCGGAUGAUAUUUUGAACCGCAUGGUUCAAAAGUGAAAGACGGUCUUGCUGUCACUUAUAGAUGGAUCCGCGCUGCAUUAGCUAGUUGGUAAGGUAACGGCUUACCAAGGCAACGAUGCAUAGCCGACCUGAGAGGGUGAUCGGCCACACUGGAACUGAGACACGGUCCAGACUCCUACGGGAGGCAGCAGUAGGGAAUCUUCCGCAAUGGGCGAAAGCCUGACGGAGCAACGCCGCGUGAGUGAUGAAGGUCUUCGGAUCGUAAAACUCUGUUAUUAGGGAAGAAAAUAUAUGUAAGUAACUGUGCACAUCUUGACGGUACCUAAUCAGAAAGCCACGGCUAACUACGUG
rnacentral:rRNA from 1 species